UACGUAGGGGGCAAGCGUUGUCCGGAUUUAUUGGGCGUAAAGAGCGUGUAGGCGGCCAGACAGGUCCGUUGUGAAAACUCGAGGCUCAACCUCGAGAUGUCGAUGGAAACCGUCUGGCUAGAGUCCGGAAGAGGAGUGUGGAAUUCCUGGUGUAGCGGUGAAAUGCGCAGAUAUCAGGAAGAACACCUAUGGCGAAGGCAGCACUCGUGGGACGGUACUGACGCUGAGACGCGAAAGCGUGGGGAGCGAACAGG
rnacentral:rRNA from 1 species